UUCAGGAUCUACGACAUUCCAGCCACGCGGUUCGACGACCUUCAAGCUCUUCUCAUUGUCAGAAUAAGGUCCGAAGUACGAACUUCUACAUUACGUUGAACUCGAAGUUUUCGACCGGAUGUCUAGAUUGAUCUUGAGAGGAACAGCCAACGAAGAUCGUCGGUGAGGCGGGGUAAUACCCGGGGGAUUACUGGACUUAGGAACUGAUUUAUUCUACCGUCUUAAGACAGCAGCAGGUGCAGCGUUCGUUGGGCUGGGUUCAAACGUACGGAAAUAGGCACGCCACUUUUGGCAGAUUUAUCGGAGCGAAAAUCGCCGUGCUCUAUCUCUCUGCACGGGAAGCUCCGUUUUUCUAAUUUCAGCUCACAAACUUCGUCAGAAAAGUUGAACAGCAAGCCAAAACCCUUAAGGCACUUUCCCUCGGAACCACCCGUUUGCAAUUACUCCAACGGUUAGCUAAACGAGCUAAAACGAUUUCUGGGAAAGAUCUGCAAUCUCCGGUUGACUCACGGAAUUCCAGGUAGCCAAACUCGUUUCGACACUUAAGGAAGAAUUUCAUCCGUAUGAUCCACUUCCGCCUGAAAUGGAUAGCUGGAACUCUGAUAAUGUAAGAGAAGCGAUGUUGCAUCGCUUUAAGUCACGAUAUCCAAUUCGAUAAUCUAUAGUGACCGUCAAUGAUCUUUCAACACUUUCGAUCGAUCUAUCUUAGCUUCAUAAUUGGAAGCAAUUUUGGAUGUGUGCUUUCAAGUGUAUCUAACUUGCCACCUAGUAAUUCGUCAUUUUCAUUGAUAGGAGACGUUAACGUUGUAACCCAAUAUUGCCUUCAAGUUGCAUUAUCAGCCUAACGAUGAAUGCGCGUAUUUUCAGUUCGAAAAUAACCAAUCAUGCAAAACUUUGCACAGGGUUCGGUUACGCUGUCGCGAAAUCGUGGAUAGGACAAAAGGGUUUGAACAACAUCCGGAGGGUUUGAAAAAGUAGUUUUUAUUACAGUCAAUCGUUAGUAUUUCUUGGGCUGCUGGUUUCGCGUCUGUUGAUUGAACAGUGUCGUUUCCGGCCUGAGUCUUGGGGGUGGUUUGGUGGGUUCUUCUUCUUCCGGAACUUCCGUCGUUGACGGCUGCUUGGCGAUCCACUCAAGCGCCCUUUGUAUGGCGAUGGGAAUCGGGGGUGGCGUGGGAAGAUGAGCCCCGGCGACUUGGGUGCCAAAUUCGUCGGCUGUCCAGCUCAAUGAAAUCGGAGUACCGUCGGGUGCGUUGUAUUGCACAGAGCCCUGGAUCAGUUGGGUCUCGUCCGAUGUUCCGGCGUAUUUCCGGCUCCCGACUUCCUUCUGCAGGAUUCCACCCUCCGUCUCGUAGUUGAACGAAUAGUGCCCUUUAUUGUCACCAAGGUUGUGCUCUGCGGAAAUCACCUUCUCCGGCUCCCGGAAGUACUCCUGACUCGAUGAUAACCCGGCGCUGAAGGCCAACAACUGAAAGAAAAAUCCCUUACAGAUCUCGCAAAUUCACAUAGACGAAUGCUACUACAGCGGUUAUCAAUCACUGCAGAUCUGCAAGGCCACCCGAAGCGUUGCAGUUGAAGGAGACCGGAAUGAAAAUUGCGCCAGAGGGGUUGAAGAGAGAAGAGGUGGAAAAAGAGACGCGGCGAUCAGGUGCGAAGGGGAAAUGGAAGGGGGCGGAUAGGCUGAGACUGGGUCACCCAUGAAGAACGAGAGUCCCGCUUCGAACGGCCCCGAUGCACUCACCAGGAGGACGCGCAUGCUGUACAUUAUAUCUUGCCAAAUGAGGUGCGGAAGGAGUGGUUAUCGACAGAAGACGGAGCACGUGCGGCACGUUUAACAGAAUGCCCGGAGAUCAGUCCGAUGGUCUCUGGAGUGGAGAUGGCGACUAACUAUUUGCCGGUUGGGGGCCGAGUCUGCCUUUAUAUCCACGACAAUCACCUAGCUUUACAUAACCCGGGAAAGUGUACUUUGAGCAACUACUCCAGCUAGGACUUCCACCUCGGCAUCCUGCGCCCGGCUCUUCUGGUUCUGAAUCCUCGAGGCUUGGGGGGUACGCGUCCUUAGUUUCUACCCUGCCCUCUUCAAACGCCCCGGAAAGACAAUCUCACUGGACUUUUCGACUUCGCCGAGUCUCCUUUCAUCCACCUUACGCAAGCUCGAUCAUCGCUGGAAAAACAGGACGGGGUACCAGGCUUGACCUUCGCACUGUACAAUUUCGAUGGAUUCCAUUUUAAGAUCGUGUUAUACCUGGGCGAUUAUAGACUUCGUUAGAAGAGGAAAAUGGAAGCGUUGCUGAAUGAUUUUUUUAAACAACCAAGGUCCUUGAGACACAUCUGGGUCAAGCGGACACUGAAAAGGUCAAGUUUCAUGGUUCACGUCUCGGGAGACCAAUGCGCGUGAUUUAUUCAACGAAUCCCGUAUUAUUAUAUGUUAAUUAUAUAUAUAUAUAUAUAUAUGAACGCAUUCGUUCAACGCUUAUCCCCGUGGUGCAGUGGAAACUUUCAUUUAAUUCUGGCCAUGAAUAUGUGUCACGUAAUUUGUGUAAUUACGUCGACUUAAAUUAGCAUCGAUCCAUCGACUUUGAGAUUUUGCAAGCGAGCCGGCGCAUCUCGAACAUGCACUAACCGGUAGUUAAUGUCAAUCCAUACCCGAACAAGAAUAAGGGGACGAUUCGGUAUCGCGAUGAUCAAUCCGCCCGAGUGUCGACACGAAUACUAUACGAUUUUGUAAAAAAAUGUGGAAACUCUUUCAGAAUGGUGAGUUGCCGCUAAUCGUGUUUUGUCUCCAUCGAGCAUACGGAGAAAAAACAAACCUUGCCACAGUGCUUACCGUGAAGACGGGUCAAGCAGGCCAAAUAAGGGUCAAGUUGAUCAACAUCGUCGAGUCUCAGCGAUGUGACGGAUGAAUUCGAGGACACUUGUCACUUGAAAGACGUAUUAAAAAAAAUUAGCUUGUUGCAGCGACUCGACGCUUGACGUUACCGCUGUUCUUGGAUGAAUAUGAACACCGAGUCCUUUGUCGACUCAUAAAUCUUUGAACUCCAGGCUAUCUUGUAUCCCAAUCAUUGUCUUGGACCCAGUUGUCCAAACCUGAUUGACUCAGCACGCGAACACUUCCACCUUAAUAUUACCAGCUCACACGAUAUGCAGCGACUUAAUUAACACGAAUGCAACGUAAAUAUGUUGAAUAAUAAAGUUGAAUAGCACCGUGGUGUUGGUGAGUAAUGGAUUGAAAACAAACAUUCCAUGUUGGAAAUAAGUGACGACGAACAGGUCAAAGGCCAGGAGCAUCACGCCGCAGGAAUUCUGGAAUCAGUGGUAAUCGCGGGUGUCGCGAAAUCCGAUGACGUUUAAGAGCGACCGUGCAGAUUUAUGCCGAUUGCUUAUGCAGCUGCGACACGUUCCAAGCCGCAAUUUCUCCCGCUUGGCUGAACCAUCGAAAGGACGGAAAAGGCCGUUUCGAGCUCUGCACGAGCUGCAACGGCUGUUGCUGCUGCUCCGUUGGAACACCUGACAGAAAAACCACAGUUCAUCAUAUUCGAAGGAUCUAACAAAGCCCCUCAGACCCAGUGGUUAGCAAUGUAGAGAACUACACGUAUAUGUAUACUCAGUACUGUUUCGCCAAACAUGGACAUCGUCCCUAGAUAAUCGUCUAUUCGUUACAAGGACGAACGAGUAGAUCAGCUACACAGUCUCGCAUGGUUUAACAAAGCGAUGGUGUCAUCGUCUCACCGAUCAUCACUCAUUCGGGAUUUCAAAUUCGAUAAUCUGUAAUUUUUAUGAAAAAUUCCACCGCACCGUCACAUGUUUGAAAUUAUGACAGCAGGCUGCUGCCCGAAAGAUUUUUUUUUUUUCUUAAACUCUCCUAAGCAGGCGCUAAUUCAAACGACUUUAAUAGUUGGGUCAAAUUUAUUACGACACUCUUGGUGCCUGUGUUGACUUUGUCGCCGCGUCUGUAGCGGUAUGCCACAGGCUGCUAAUCAAAGCAACGACCAGUGUAUAUAAUUGCAGUUCGGGUCCAAAUUCGGACACUGGAAAGGACAAGUGGUGAAGAGAAAUUUUGUACACUUGCUGCCGAGAAGAAUAGGUGAAUAAAUUGAAUAAGAACAGAGAUAUAUUACACUUUGUCCCAAUUUUUUCACUUACUUGCGUAUGUAUUAUAUAUAUAUAUAUAUAUAUAUAUAUACACAUCUCGCUGCAGACCUUGUUUCGUUAUAGGUAGCGUAAUAAUAUUGUAAAAAUAUAAUGUCAAGUUAGUAAAAAGUCCUAGUUUGCAAAACGAACAGCUUAAAUUUAUUUCAAGGCAGCACCAUGUAUUGUCAUGAAGAUACAAGUAAUUUAAAUGAAUUUCUUUCGUGUUUACCAUGUGAAUUUUUACCAAUUUCAUAUAUAAAUGUCAAUAUCUUAAAAAAGGGUAUAUAUUAUAAAUGCAUAUAUGCAUGUCAAAAUGUUAUUUCUUAGUUAUUGAGCGUUGUAAACAUAUUUUUCAGGCCGAAUGUCACCCUGAUACAAGAUGAACCAGUAUAAUAAUCGGGUGAAAUUCCAUUGACCGAAACCCUGAAAGUACUCCGCAACAGAUAAAUUUUCCCUAUUCAACUCAAUAUCUAAUCUCAGGAAUUCCAUCUCUAGGAGUAUAAAAUGCCGAAGAUCAUCGGCAUCGUAUAAGUACCUCCAUGUGAAUAUUAUCUCGUAAGAAUUUCUAAUUAUUUAUUCUGGGGACCAAGAUCACGAUUCAUUGAUUGUGUCAUAACAAACCGCGGCGCGGGUCGUAAAGACGCGAAUGGAAAAAUAAAAAUAAGGAAAUAACACCCGAGCAUAAUCGCGUGACUACGUUUCUGCGCAAAUCUUCGCCAAACUUCGUUCAUCGAGGUGCGGAAGAGACGCGAAUUGUAAGACGUGUCCCGCAACGGACUGAAAAUCGUCGACGAUGCAUCGGGCGGAUUCCUCCGGGCGAGCCGACAACGAGGUCCAGGAUGCCGCGCACGACGACGAGCAUCUUUGCCCCGCGGCUCCGUUCGUGUCGGGCUUGUCUUGUCCGCCAAAAGUGAAAGUCCUCCUCUCCGUCGAUCGGUAAAGGUCGACUCAUCUUCACGAGUGGCCUCCGCGGCACAACAGGCGACAGCCAAACAGAAAACCACUGUGGGAAUACAAACACCAUCACGUUUUCCCUCUCGGUAGCAACCAGCGGUGCAGGCCAAGGGUUUCCCUCGAACCAACCUUUGCCGUCUACGCCACGAAUAACCGAGCCGCGGUAUUACGUUCAAAGGAGAACGGCUUGUGCUG
rnacentral:lncRNA from 1 species